AAUAUAAUUAAAAAAUGUUAUGGUUUUUAAAUAGGAAAAUCAUGAAACAAUUUUAGUUUUAUUUUGUAUAAUUAUCAAUUCGAGGGUUGCUAAGAGGAAUUUUUAUGACCGCCAAAUAACUAAAUUUUAGAUUGGCAAGCUAAGUUUUUCACAGCGCCUAUAUCGUCUAGAUUUUUUUUGCUUUUUUUUUUUGGUGUUUCGCGAUAUCUUCUAAUUUAUCGAUUUUUAAUAUUUCGGUCUAAAACUCAUUUCCAUUGAAAUUUCUUUGACUUUUUCAUGUAUAGGUGUAAAAUUAAGUUGCAACUAGUUCGAAAAAUGUCAUUGUUCUCUAAUGCGUGAUCUGGCUUGUACAUUUUCAUGUUAUCGUUUGAAAGAAAUUUUUGUGGAGGUUUUCGUAAUCAAUUUUCAAAAGUGUUUCAAGAUAUAAUGACAAUGAUCCUAUUGCCGAAAUUGUUCAAAUCUAGAAAAAAAGGUAGACACAAAAUAACGAAUUGAAAAGAAACCAUAUGAAAUUGUUCACAAAUCAAAGCUAGACACAAAGGCAGACACAAAAUAGCGAAUUGAAAACAUAUGAAAUCGUUCACGUAACCGCCUGAAAGAUGUAGUACUCGCUCAACGAAAACAAUCUUGCACUUCAUCUUUCGUUAGUUCUUCAUUGAAGUUUUAUAUGAAAGGGUUUUCGAUUUAACCCAUUCAAGAACGAAAAAAAAAACAUCACACGAUUAAUUUUCUACAAACGAUUUUCGAUCGUUUGGCAUUUAGGUAUAAAUUAAAUAAUAAUGAAAAAAACACUCCUUGCAAAUUGUUGGCCAAGAAUAUCUUUAACAUCGAUAACGAGUACAACAACAAUAAGUGUUGCAGUUUAACGUUUUUAUUUAAAUGAAACACUUCACUCACAUUCUGUCACUUUAGCCAACAAAAAUAUGUAAAAAAAAGGAAAGCAAGAACUAAUCUGUUGAAAAUAUUCUGAAAAAAGACAUAAAUGAAUAAAAAAUUCAAAACAAAAAACGAAAUGCAUCUAAAUGCCGAGCGCGUCACUGUCAGAGACAGUUACAAGAAUGUGCAUACGUUUUCAACAAAGAAAGACGUACAAAAAAGAAUUAAAGUGACUAAAAAUCAGCGCAAAUAAGUGUACUCCGAGAUAUAAACACAUAUUUGCAUGGAUGCAUUCAAUUUUUUAUGUUUGACGCAAAUCCCUCUUUACUGUGUAUUACUAAUGUUUAUCGUUCAACUAGAGGAGGACAUGGUUCUUUCAAACAGUGAGGUUAAUAAUUCUAAAUCUAGCUUCAUACAAUAUUAAAUGAGUCGAGUCGAGUUAGGGCUAAAUUUUCACAGAUUAAAAAUGUGUAUGAGCGUUUUCAAAAGAAUGUUGUUGCACGUUCAACGUUUCUUUCCUUUGUUGCUUCUGAUUUUGAUCCAUGGUAUGAGGUCGUUGAUUUCUUUGGUCUAUAGUGGAUGUAUACACCAACCAAGAUAUAAAAAGGGAAGGUGACAUUUAUAGGGUUGGCAAUGCUUUCGUCAAUGCCUUUCUCUUUGUCUCUUCACAUUAUAUUAAUCAGUUGGAGAAAUUAUAAUUCUCUAAUCCCCCGUCGGUUCGUUUUUUCCCGCUGUCAAAGUAGCUGCGAAUUCUUUCUGUUGAAGCCCCUUCGCAUUUCUGAGAUCUGAAGGUCUUACUUUAGGAGUUUCUUAUUGAUGCCAUGUAGAGGAUCCCGUUCUGUAACGACUAUUUUACAGAAACCCCUUUCUGUACGAUGAAGGAGAAAAGGUUCCCUUCUUGUCUCUAAAAACCCUGUACAAGCUGCUAUCCCCAUUCAGUUAGAUUUUAUGAUAUUAAGGAGUAGGCGGAAGAGACAGUGGUGGAAUCUAGGAUAUGUCGAUGUACAUUCUACUUAGGCGAAAAUUCUUGCGACAACAUAAAUUUUGGAUGGCUUUUCGAAAUGUGUGAAAAAUCCGCGAGCGUACAGUUUUGCCGAGAGUUAGCCUAUUUUAAAAUUCUCAGCGUCCACGACAACCAAGUUACCCAAAGAGAGAACAUCGUUUGUUUGACUACUGGGUGCAGUUACUACUUGGAAUUUCGUGUCGGGUGCGAAUAAGCCAAAGUUGCAGGAGCAUUCUGUAAUAAGCAAUAGGACUCUCAAUUAGGGAGAGCGAUGACCUACUCACCGGAGGGAACCGCUUAUCACUUAGUAU